UACGAUAAACUUCCACUUCACCAACCCUAUCCGUUCCUUCCCUUUUCCCUCGACUCAUCCUUCCUCUUCCUCCCACGCCAUCGAUUUAGUUCUCCUCCCUCUCUUUCCCCUCUUUCGUUGGACUUCAACAUGCUCCGCCUUCACGACGAUCAGCAGAACCGAUCCCGGCCGCCAUCCCUCGACCUCUCCGCUCUCUUCCUUGCGGCCUUCCACUCCUCCCAUCUCCUCCCUCGCCUCUCACCCGCAGGCCUCGCCUCGUUCCUCCUCGGCGCCUCGCUCACCAUGAUGCUCGGCGGCUCCAUGACGUUCUUGCUCGGCUUUCUUAUGUUCCCUUGGGUGAUCGGCCUCCUCAUGAUGCUAUAUCUGGUCGGCCUCGUCUCCAUUUUGUCCGGAUUGGGCAGGGCGAUCCUUUGUCGAUUUUCCCCUCUCGAACCCCAACCCUAUGCCAGAUCAACUAUUUUCCAAACUUCCAACUUUUCGGAUGUGAAAGGGAGUUUUACCAUUCAAUAGUCUCCCAUUGCUACGGCCAGAAGCAGGAGUUUUUGUCUGCCAUGGAUGCGCUUGUCCGUGCCAGCUUAUUUCUAUCAUACAGGCUUCUCUGGCGAAUUUCCUUUCCUCAAUAUUCUUCAAUGCAAUGCAUCAAAGAUCUUGGUCCUCCUGUUGGCCAGUACCACCAUUACUAGUGGAAAGAUCAUUCGACCAUUUCUUUCGCCAUAUUUUAAUUAAUAUGGGACCUAUUGGGGUUUGGACAUAUCACGAGCCAACUUUUAAUCUUGAAUGUGUACUUUAAUGUCCUUAUAUGUUGGCCUAGUUGGUAGUUGUAUGAUUGUAUUUAUAAUAGGAUUUGAGAUUGAUUUUUAAUAGGUGUAAAAUUAUCAUUUUGGGUGUCUAAUCUC